UACGUAGGGGGCGAGCGUUGUCCGGAGUUACUGGGCGUAAAGGGCGCGUAGGCGGGUGAUCAAGUCAGGGGUGAAAUCCUUCCGCUCAACGGGAGAACAGCUUCUGAUACUGGUCAUCUUGAGGGGGGUAGGGGCAUGUGGAACUUCCGGUGGAGCGGUGAAAUGCGUAGAUAUCGGAAGGAACGCCGGUGGCGAAAGCGACGUGCUGGACCCUUUCUGACGCUGAGGCGCGAAAGCCAGGGGAGCAAACAGG
rnacentral:rRNA from 1 species